CUGAUCUACAGAGAAGAACAAUUAUGAAGCUCUUUAAGGAUGCUGGGGAUCCCCUCACAAAUUUGUUUCUCAAAGUAUCAAUGAAAGGAGAGGAACUGGAGACACAGUCACACGGGGAAGAAGCCCAUGUGACUAUGGAGCUAAAGACUGGAGUGAUGCAUCUAUCAGCCCAUGGAGGUCAACGAUUGCCAAAAACCACCAGAAGCCAGGAAGGAAGUCAUGUUCCUCAGAAGGAACAUGACACUGCUCACAUCUUAAUUCUGGACUUCUAGCUUCCACGACUGUGG
rnacentral:lncRNA from 1 species